UGAUUUUCAAAUGAAACUUAAAACUCUUUAUUCUAAGAAGUACUAGAACAAUAUAGAAUUCAGACAGAAAGUCAAAUCUGUUGCAAAGAACAAGUACCAACGGUAUGAAUCUUUAAGAAAUAAGUUGAAGGCUUCAUCAAUAAAGAGAAAUUCAUCAGACCCACUAUUUAGAUGUAAAAUGAAAACUAUGUUAAAAACAAAAUAUCAUAAUGACAUAUAUGUUAGAGAAAAAAAAAAUAGCCAGUAGAAAUUCUGUUCAGAAAGCAAUAAAAAAA
rnacentral:lncRNA from 1 species